rnacentral:rRNA from 1 species
UGCUGACGCAGCCUGAUCAGCCAUGCCGCGUGUGUGAAGAAGGCCUUUGGGUUGUAAAGCACUUUUGUCCGGGAGGAAGUCACUUUUAUUAAUACUCUGUGUGGAUGACGGUACCGCAAAAAUAAGGACCGGCUAACUUCUUGCCCACAGCCCCGGUAAUACCUAAGGUCCAAGCGUUAAUCCGAAUUACUGGGCGUAAAGCGUGCGCAGGCGGUUGUGCAAAACCGAUGUGAAAUCCCCGGGCUUAACCUGGGAAUUGCAUUGCUGACUGGGCGGCUAGAGUGUGGCAGAGGGGGGUAAAAUUCCCAGUGUAACCGUGAAAUGCGCUAAAGAUGUGAAGGAAUACCGAUGUGGAAGGCGCCCCCCUGUGAUAACACUGACACUCAUACGCAAAAACGUGUGGAGAAAACACGAUAAUAUACCCCGUGAUACCCCGCCCCAAACAAUAUCUCCUAUUUGUUGGGGAUUCUUUUCCUUUUUAACGUAGCUAACGCCUGAAUUUGACCACCUGGGGAGUACGGCCGCCACAUUAAAACUCCUCGAAUUUUUUUCGGGGGG